AAAAAUUUGCUAAGGAAUGAGCUAGCGACUCAAUAAGCAUUUAAUUUACUAAACUAUAGUAUAUUAGGCUAGAAUUAUCAAAUCUUUAUCAAUACAGAAAAUUAUACCAACACUUAACUAACAAUCACAAAAUCAACCAUUUCAGUUAUUCUCAUAAACAUAUAAUUUCAUCUCACGUAAUGCAAAUAUCUCAAACUCAACCAAGUCAAAUAAUUCAAUUCCACAUUAUUUCUAUCGAAUUAGGAUCAGAUGACUCAUCCUUACAUUUCCUCACAUUUUUAAAUUUCAGUAACCACUUGACAAGACUAUCCGCCCGGCUCAGUCUUGCCAUUUCACAUACUCGGGUAGCUAUUCGCCCAGCUCAGCUUUCUCGAUCACACAAUAUCCAUACAAAACUCAUCAAUCCUUAAUCACAAUCAUUUCACUUCACAACACAUCACAAUCAAUUCACUUCACAACACAUCACAAUCAAUUCACUUUAUAACAAGCCAAAAACAUAACUAAUAUCAACUCAGUCAACCAAGAAAUUAUCAAGUAAUCAAACA
rnacentral:lncRNA from 1 species